UUCAUUAACCAGAAAUAUUGGGUUCGUUCUCUGAUAUAUACGCAAUUCUCUUCCUUCAGCCUUCCCCCUCCCCUCACUCACAAACUGCGUAGCGAACUUGACAGUGGACAGUAGUGUAGUUAGCAAAAGCAAAAGCAAACCCUAAACAAUGGCAGAGCCCAAAACCAAAUACGAUCGCCAACUCAGGAUAUGGGGUGAGCAAGGACAGGCUGCCUUAGAAAAAGCUACCAUUUGUUUGCUUAAUUGCGGUCCUACCGGUUCCGAGACGUUGAAAAAUCUUGUACUUGGUGGAGUUGGAUCCAUUACUGUGAUUGAUGGGUCUAAAGUUGAACUGGGCGACCUUGGAAAUAAUUUCAUGGUGGAUGAAUCAUGUGUUGGGCAAUCUAAGGCGAAAUGUGUGUGCACGUUUCUUCAAGAGUUAAAUGAUGCUGUUAAAGCCAAGUUUAUAGAAGAGUAUCCCGAGGCAUUAAUUGGCUCAAAUCCCUCCUUCUUUUCGCAGUUUACACUGGUUGUAGCCACUCAGUUGGCGGAAGACUCGAUGAUAAAGCUCGAUAAAAUCUGCAGGGAGGCAAAUGUUCUGUUGAUUUUUGCACGCUCCUAUGGCCCUACCGGGUUUGUCAGAAUUAGUGUGAAGGAACAUGCAGUGAUUGAGUCAAAGCCUGAUCAUUUCUUGGAUGACCUUCGGUUAAAUAACCCAUGGCCUGAGCUCAAAAGGUUUGCAGAAACCAUUGAUUUAAAUGUGACAGAUCCUGUUGCCCAUAAGCACACACCUUAUGUUGUCAUUCUAGUCAAGAUUGCUGAGGAGUGGACCAAAGCUCAUGGUGGUGCCCUCCCAUCAACCAGGGAUGAGAAGAAAGAAUUCAAGGAGCUUCUAAAAGCAGGAAUGGUUGCAAUGGAUGAAGACAACUAUAAAGAAGCUAUUGAGGCCUCCUUUAAAGUAUUUGCACCUCGAGGAAUUAAUUCUGGUCUGUUGCAGAUAAUCCAUGAUAGCUGCAGUGAAGUUGAGUCUAAUUCAUCUGACUUUUGGGUGAUGGUUGCUGCCUUGAAGGAGUUCAUUGCGAAUGAAGGUGGUGAGGAGGCACCUCUUGAGGGUUCAAUACCGGAUAUGACUUCUUCAACUGAGCUUUAUGUAAAUUUACAGAAGAUCUACCAAGCAAAAGCGGAGGCCGACUUUCUUGCUAUUCAGCAAAGAGUUAAGAGUAUUCUGAAGAGAAUGGGUAGAGAUCCAGAUAGCAUCUCAAAGGAAAUGAUUAAAAGCUUCUGCAAAAAUGCAAGAAAACUAAAGAUUUGCAGGUAUCGCCCUAUUGAAGAUGAGUUCAACAAUCCUGCAGUAACAGAGUUACAGAAGUAUUUAACUGAUGAGGAAUACAGUGUUGCCAUGGGGUUUUAUAUCCUGCUUCGAUCUGUUGACCGCUUUGCUGCUAAUUAUAACAGUUUUCCUGGGCAAUUUGAAGGGGAAAUGGAUGGGGAUAUAUCUCGACUGAAAACUACAGUUGUUGGUCUACUUAGUGACCUCGGUUGCAAUGGUGCAACUGUAACCGAGGACCUUAUCAAUGAAAUGUGCCGGUUUGGUGCUUCUGAACUUCAUGCGGUUGCUGCCUUUAUUGGGGGAAUUGCAUCGCAAGAAGUGAUCAAGCUGAUAACAAAACAAUUUGUUCCCAUGGUGGGGACUUUCAUAUUCAACGGCAUCGAUCAAAGGUCUCAAUUAUUGGCACUGUAGAAUGCUUUGCUGGAACAGAUCACCACUUCAUAGGAUGGAGCAGUUGACCUUUUGCAGAAAGUGUUGAGACUCUUGAAGACCCCCAUACAUCACUAUGUAUUAAGGAAAAAGGUUUUGAAAGUCUGUAUGGUUGUAAUGGAAAUGAGGUACGAUGAUGUUUAGCUAACUCACAAAAUUCACACUGAAAUGAAGAUGGAUUUUUAUUUUUAAACAAACUUGGAAACAGAUGCUUUAAAUAUUGAAAACUUGGGUGGUCUAAUCUAUAAUGCCACAACAUUAUUUCAUCACUACUAGCAACAAGAAUAGAUUCAAAACAAGUACUUGUAAUAGGUUUUCUCGAUUUGGAUCCAUCUUCAAGGAAAUAAAGUCCACCGAUCUCUCUAGCAUUGCCAAUCGUCCUCCUCGAGGAUAAAUUUGGAACAUGGAGAACAUUAUGAAGUGUAAGAGAAGGAGAAAUGAACACUGAUCCUUUUCCAGCUAUAGCUGAAAGAGAACCAUCUGUAAUUUUGAUCUUUUUGUUUCCUGCACAUGGUUUAUAGGAAGAGAAUAUUUUUGAAGAACCAGUCAUAUGAUCAGUAGCUCCAGAGUCAAUGAUCCAAGAAUAAUGAACAUUUGAUUUUAUACUAGAGAGAGUUGCAAUGAGAUAA